rnacentral:tRNA from 1 species
GGCCUGACAGCUCAACUGGUAGGGCACUGCACCAGCAUUGCACAGGCCAGGGCUCGACUUCCGUUCAGGCCU